GAGAACCUCACCAUACCCAGCCACAUCCUGCAUGGACUGUGGGUGCAGAAAGCAGAGGUCCUAGGACAUCGUCACCCCCAAAGUGCAUUUCUGUGGCUGGGGGUGGCAGAAGACCAAGACAGAGAACUCGUUGCCCUUAGACUCCCACUGCCACCUGUGCCCUCCACCCUUGUCCUGCCCCAGGGAUGCACUUGGAGGGUGAGGAUUUUCUAGGCCCCCCCACCUCCCACCUCUGCACUCUGCUACCACAGCCAAGGGGAGAUGUAGCUGGGGAGGGUGGGUGUCUUCUCCCAAGGCUGCCCAGCUGGCAGCAGGCCUACUCAUCCCUCAGAGGCUGCAACUCAGGGAGGGGCAGGGUGAACUCAAGGAUUAGGUGAGCAGCCUGGUGGACUCCAGGCCAAUGCCAGGCAUUGGUGGAAUGGGCAGCAUAAGGUACUCAGCAGGUGUCUGGGUACCACCAGCUCCUGCGCCCUGCUUCGUGAGCAGGCAGGCCCUACCAGGAGCAAUGCCAGUUGCCUGGAGGAGCCACUGCAGAGGCCAUCACAGCCUCUAGUCGUCCUCUGACUCGGAGGCCUGCUGUCCCAAGCUUUCACCAUCACCGCUAACAGAGCUCCACACUGCGGCCACUGGAGUCCCCACAGGGCCACCAGUGAUGCCGCAGCCACCAUCACUGCACUGGGACCAGACUCCUGCCACUACCAGAGGAUGAGAAUGCUCCUCUCUGGAUGCCUGGCUUGACGUUGCCACCUACAGACUCCUUGGUUGCCUUUGCCACCGCUGCCAUAACUGAACUUCAGACACCAAUACCUCCACAGAUUCCAAACGCCAAGGCUUCACUGCCCAGGCUCCUGCCCAUGGCUGUCCUCCAAGCCUGAGGCCAAUUCUCCAUCCUGCCACUGAUACAUCUGGGCUCCUCAAACUGCCUUAAGACACCUAGGCUCGCUGUUUGACAUUCUCCCCACAGAUGGAUGCUGACACUGCUCCUGGUCACUGGGAACCUCCAAUGGGAAACCCUGCUGUGGAACGCUGAGGUUGGCUUCUAUAUGCUUCAGUCCCAGAAACCAGACUUCUUUCACAGCCACUAGAUGCCUUUGCAGGUGCCACCUAUACCUCCAGGCUUGGGAAGGGUCCAGCACAUGCCCUUCCAUGCCUGCUGCCUGUUCAUAUCUGUCCGUGGAAUAAACCAUUGAUUGGGUUAAAGCUCUCAGAACUGAAUCAUUUCACUGAUAAUCCUUGUAUUGGCUCGCCCAUGAGCUUCUGGGGACACCUACUACCUAAAGCACAACACAUCUUCAUCGAAUAGCUUAGCAAGACCUUCUAGAUGACUUGCAAGAGCUUCUACAUCAGCACUUGUUUCUUUGCCUUGCACUUUUAUUUUGUGGAGAGGGGCCUCUUGCCAAAAACAUAAUGGACCAAACUCUGGCACCUUCAAACUUCUUCUGCAGCUUUCUCACUUCUCUUGUCAGUAUAACAAUCUAAAGUGAUGGCCUUAUCUGGAUUUGGCUUCAUCUUCAUAGAACGUGGGUUGUUCUUCUUUUCUUAAGAAUAUAAUCUAUAUUAGUGGAUUAGUUACAACUCUCAUAAUCUGAUCAUUUCACCUCCAAACAUUUUUGCAUUGUCUCAUACAUGAACUUUUGGAGGACAUCUCAUAUCUAAACCAUUAAAGUGUCCAAGAAGUUUACCAUCAUUUAGCAUAGUGACAGUUAUGAGAUAGUUUAGGAAGACCUGGAGAACAGAAAAGAAGUGUCACCCCCAAAAGUGAGAAAAACAAUAGAAAGUAUUUUCUGAAAAGUCAAGAGAGAGAAGGAUCUCAAACAAAAGUGAUGUCAAACAAACACUAGGGCACAUCCUUUGGAUUUGGUUUGGGAUCUGAGUUUUGGAAGAAAUCCUUAAUUAUUUAUGCCCCCCCCAAAAAAAAUACAGAAUGGUUGCUGAAAUGGAGCAAAGUGAAAGGAAAUGGAAUAGAGCCAGCGAUGCCUUUAGAAAAUUACUAAAGAAAAAAAACUUAAGUUGGUGCAAGAAAAUUCUAGUAGCAGUUUUGUUGUUAAGGACUCUCCUGGAAGUAGGCAAGCAUUAAAAAAGGAGGAUGCUUUAAUAAAAUCUUAGGGGAGCCAAUGCAACAUUGGGAGCCCAGAAACGAAGGUGAAGACGGAGAAAAUGGACAUCAGAGAUGCUAAUGGCUCUGUGAGGAUUUUUACAGAAAUAAAUCAGAGAAAGAAGUUAAAAAUAUGUAAUGGGCGGAGGCAACUCUCCAUUUUAAACUGUGAUCAUUAAGAGUAUUUAAAGUAUUGCCCUGUCUCAUUAAUAGCAGGAAGGGUAAGCCUUCCUAUUGUCUAACCUAAAUAAUAGCUUCUCGGUUGGCUGGUCACACUACGCAGUUUGUUGGAAACUCUCUGUAUUAAGGUUCCUCUUGGCAUGUCACUCCUGUGUGUAAUUCUGAGUGCAUGAGCAACUGGGUGGGCUUCAACAUAUUCUUAAUUUAAGUGCUGUCUUAAUUCAACUUAUUAUCUGGUCUACAGCAAGCUUUUAAUCAUUUAUUUUUAAUAUUUGUCUUAUUUAUUUAUGAUAUAUUUAUUUAUGAUUUAUAAUUUUAUAAUUUGUAUAGCAUUUAUUUAUAAUUUAUAUUUAUUUAUAAUUUAUAAUUAUUUAUAAUUUAUUUAUAUAUCUUAUUUAAUUUUUUUAGUAUCUUGGAAAAAAAGCAUUCUUCCUUCCAGGUAUCAGUUCUACCCAGGAGGCAAAGCCUAGGAUGGCCUCCAUGUUGAUGAAUAGCACGCCCACACAGACACUUGGGUAUCUAGUUGUGUCUUUCUUCUACCUUUGGCCAUUCUAGAAUAAUACACCAAACUUUGAUAUGAUGAUGACCUUUUGGUUCCCAUUAUUUUUGUGUUCUUUUUUUUUAAGUAAUUAGAACUAAAAAUGAGAGAUUAAUUGCUAUACUUGUUGGAAUAUUUAUUUUUACUCAGUCAAUAUAUAUAAUAAUUUCCUCUAAAUAAACCAUAAUGAAUCUGAAAGAUUUUUAAAUUGCCUAUUAAUUAGUUGAGUUGAGUUCCUGGCCCUGCAGGGAGCCCUCCCAUAUGUGAUCUUCGUUUCUUUAACACUAUUUACUUACUGUCAUCACUCCCAGUUACGCUCUUCCUUUCCUGCUGCAUAGUGUGUGCAAUAGAAUUCACCGUGGUGUUGAAUCCUACUUUCUUAAGCCUCCCCUACCUCCCACACCAGUGCUCUUCUCUGGGCAGCCCAUCAACACUGUUCUAGUCAAGACAGAGUAUCUCCCUUCAAAUCAUUUAUUUUUCAGCUUAGGGCUUGGUAUGCUUUUUCUAUAAGGGACACCAGUUAGUAAAUAUUUUAAGCUUUGUGGGCCACAUAUGUUCUCUAUCAUAUACUCCUUUUUGUUUUUUAAAAUAAUUCUUUAAAAAUAUAUAAUCACUCUUAGCUUGCACAAAAACAGGCUUGACUUAGUGUGUGGGCUGGUAGCCUAGCUGAUUGUCCACUUGGCAGGCACUUCCUUCAAGCCUUACAGAAAAGCAGAUCUCAUUAAGAUAAUCUAAUUCCUCUGUUCUUAUUCUAGUUCUUUUUUUUUUUUCCAGCAACCUCUAGAAAUAAUCUACUGUAGACUAUCUAAGAAAGAAUGUGCUGACCAGAAAACAUAGGUAUUCUGGAUUACUCAGUAGUAGUUUCUAAUUUCAAACUUAAUAAACCAGCAAAUUAUCACAACGUGUGUGUGUAUGUGUGUGUGUGUGUGUGUGUGUGUGUGUUGUUGUUGUUGUUGUUUCUAAAUGAAUCAGAUUAGCUUGGCUUGUACUGAAAAAUUUCUUUUGGAGGCCUGUACCAUUGAAGGCUAGACUGUAGAACCUGGCUAUCCCAGUUUAUUCCCCCUGGGUGGCCCAGUCUAGGCCUCCCUUUGAAGCCAGCCUUUUCAGUUUUCUACAGGGGCAAGGAACUGAAUAGAGAGGGGGAGGGGCUGGAGUCUGCCAGGUGGAGACAGUGAGGUUUUGGUGCCAAAAGAGUGAAAACCUGAGUCCACUCCACCACUACCUUUUUGUCUUUUCAGGAGUCCUUUAACUUCUCUGUCCAUUGCUUUACAUGUAGACUGUCUGAAGAUGAUUGCCUACGCACUUUCCCAUCCCUGAACCCACAGACCACAUCACCCUCAAGUGUCCAUCUCCCAUUCUUGUGAAUCUAGUCUGGCCUCCUGUCUUACCUUGGCCAGUAGAAUGUGGUAAAAGUGACUUCUGCUUUGUGAGCUUUUGCUUUCACUCUCUUGAGCUCUUGCUACCACAUAAAGAAGCUUGCACUCAACUACCCAAUAAUGACAAGCCAUGUGGUCAGAGGAUCAGCCCCAUGCUGAGCCAGACUGAACACAGCCACACGUGAAUUCUCAAAUGGCAUCAUGUGGAGUAGAACUGCCCAGCCCUAAGAAAUAAUGAGUUUUAGGGUCAUUUGUUUAAAUGCAAGAAAUAACUGAACACCACAUCACCCAGGUGUUCUCCUCCUCCUAGCAGUAGCACAGAGCUGUGGGCCUCCGUGCAUUGGAGUACAGCAGGAUGGAGGAAGAAAUAACUCAGCAAAGCUCCCCACGGAAUCCUGAUACCACCCUCUCUGUUAAUGUCAGUGAGUUUCAAUGAAUAGUCGAAGCCCAGUUACAAUGGAUUAAACACCGUGGAAGUUUACUUGUCUGUCAAAUAAAAAACUAAACGUAUGGUGAGAAGUAACUGAUCAGAAACAGCAUAAAGUGUCAAGGCCUUUUCCACUUUAAAUAAGAAUAUGCUUUUUCCAACAUAGUAAUUAUAUAACUUUAUCUGCCUUCAACUUGGAACACUAUUUCAAAUGACUAUAAUGAUGUUUAACUGUUUCAGAGUUGCCCGCACUGAUUCUUAGUAUAAGUGAUUGAUUUCAGCUUAGAUGCCUUGGGGGAAGUGCCUCACAUUUCGUUAUAACAUCUAGUCUCAGUUCCACUACCUCAAGCUUGACAAAAUACCAAAUAAUAAGUCUCUUUCUGGAAAAAUCAAGAAGUCUAUGGUUGAAUUAAUAACUGAAAGAGGUGAAUUUAGUCAUAAUCAUUAAGCUUCAGGGCCCCUGACUUGCACUUGCCUUCCAAGACUACAGAAUGUGCUCACAUGAUCAUAUAUUUGUGCAAAAUCAUCCAUAAAACCAGGUAAGAUUGUCCCUUUGGACAUUCCCUGUCACCACUUCUCUUGAGUCAGUGUUUUGGAUUGAAUGAUUCUAAGGGGGGUUGAAUUGAGGAUACAUUAAGUUUGAGAAAUAUUGGUGUGGUCUGCAGUCACUUUUUAUAUGGGGAAUUUAUUGCCAGAUACGGCAUGAGCUCCAGGAAUCUUCCCCUUGCCCACUGUGCUGAUUCAUGGCACCAUGGCACAAUGACAAAGGGCCAAGGGUAGAAUCAUACCAUAAUCCUGUCCAGCAGCAGCUGCCAUUGAAGAAAAUAGGCAUAGAAAAAAUUAAGGUGUAUAAUGUACAGAGCCAUAAGCUAGUCUGUGGAAGAUCCUUCCACUAAUCAGGGUGUAGAGUUAUUUUUCCUGCUGCUUUUUCAAAAACAAAGUUCUCACUGGUCAGGAAUAUAGGAUAUAAGUGGCAUACAUAAUUAUAAAAGCAAUAUGCACUUCUGUUUUGUUUUAUGGAAAUUGUACAGAAUUCCAAUAAAAUUCAUUGUAAUUUCUGUUUGAAAUCACAUAUCUAUAGCAGAUCAGUGGAUGUGUGUGUGAUGUCACCUAUUUUAUGCAUCACAACACAUUGCAUUGAUCUUAGCAAUCCUGACACAGCCUGCCCUGACACAGUCUGGUGGUUCCAGACACAGUGACCCACAAAAUGGAAUUCACAGGAUACUUAAGAUUAGUCACUACAUAAGAAAACUUGAAAUGCUCUGAAAUUUUAUAACACCUAUACAACAGAAAUUUUAUAGAUGUUUCCUAAAUAUAUACAUACCAUUCCCAAUAAUGAAUUUAGGAAAUUUUUAAUACUAUCAAUAUUUUUUAAAGUUUAAUCAAAUAUGCUAGAGUAGAAAAUGAAUUCAAUUUUUUUCUACAAUUUGGAUUACAAAAUAAUUUUCAUAUAAAGAGGUGAUCAAAGAAUAUGUAAUCAAAAUGUAGGAAACAGUAUUACAGAGAUGUGCUAGAUGUUUAAUGAUAAGAAAUGUUACUUUUCUGAAUUUGGUAAUAUUGUUAUUAGUUUUUAAAUGCAUAAUUGAUGUGACAUCUUCUCAUAUUAUAAGUACUUUAAGUAUAAUUUUAAGUAUAAGUACUUAUAAGUAUAAUUUUGUGUUUUAAUUUUGGAUAGUCUCCAAGUUUCAUAAAAUUUGAAUUCAUCCUGAACGCUAGAAGAUCUUGAUCAGUUCAGCUAAAUAAAAAUAGUCUGUUUUUUCAAAAGAGCAAGACUUUAUAUUCUGGUGCAUAACUGUGAUGCUGGCAUUCAAAGAUGGCACUUAAUGAACCUGCAGAUAUUUUUCUCAGAGCCAUACAACAUGGACUCCCAAGCUGCAGGGCAAGUGUGUCUUGAGAUGCUCUGAUAUUAGAAGGGAUAAUUUUAUUAUUUUAGGAAUUGUUCUAGUAUCCAAUAGGAAGAGUUCUAAUCCCUGUUGAAUUUCAUAUUCUGUCAGAGUUUUUGAGCAGAGACCCCCUAAGCCAAGUGCACUGUGAGCUAUCUCCGUGGCCUGCACCUGUUGGACAGAGAGCCAUAUGCUCCACCCUGAAAUAAGUUAUGUUGGGCAAACACUGUGGCAUAUGUUCUGACUUCUGCCUCUGAACUUCUAGUUUGUGUUCAAUAUAGUUGUUAAUUGAAAAGAGAUAGUUUUUCAUUUUAUGCGAGGCAAAAGUGAAUGGCAAAUAUGUUUAAGUUUAAAUUUCACCUAUUAGCAUAUUUUUAUCUCAUAACUGAGUUUUGCUAUACUUACUUCACUUCCCCAACUUAUUGCUUUAAAAUAAACAUUUCUCUCAGAGCAAUUCAAUUUUAAGACGAGAGAGAUGUUUAAUAAUCAAGAAUAACAAUUACCCAAAAUAUAUUCUCCUCUUCAUUUGAGGACAUACUCCCUGGACCAUAUCCCAACUGCAAAUAGGUUGGUUAGCAAAAGAAAUGUUUUAUUCAUUCCUCUCUAAUUAGAAUUCAGGAAAUAGAGUUCCCAAAAGAUGAGUAAAUAUAUUCCUUUAUUUUCACAUUGUACCAUUGUUGAAUUUAUGGUGUUGGAGAAAGUACCAGAAUAGCUAUUCACAAUUUAUUAGUAUUCACUGCAAGAACUGACCUGAACCUCAUGAUAAAAUAAUCUUCUUAAAUACCUGAACAUUAAUAUGUGUUUUAUUUUCAGUGAAAUAUGCACAUAUAAAUUUUUCCAAGAUAAUGUUUGUCUUUGAAAGUUCAUCUUUACUUUUGGAAGUAUUUUCUAGAAUUCUUAUAAUCUAAUUCUAAUUUCCUAACCAAUUAUUCCAGUGUAAUAGGAAGUAUUUAACCUAGAAGUUUUAGUUUUAAAUGGAAAAUCUUUUGAAUAUAGUUUCUCUGACAACCCAGUAUAUUUUAUUAUGUUUAAACAUUUUUCCCUCUCUGUUGGCACAAUAAGUCAUGUGCUAUUAGAUCAUAGCACACUUUCUUUCUCCAUAGAAUUUAGUUCAUCUGUAUUCUAUAGAAAUUAGUCUAGAACCAUGUUUCAAUUUUAGUGCUGUCAGUAUCUAUUAUUCAAGUUACUAAUGUGGUUGUGAAUUGAUGAACAAGAUUAAAUGUUUUGACCAUCUUCUUAAACAUUAAGUUCGUGUUUACUCACCAUUCACACUAAAUCUUACACAAGGAUAUAAUGGAAAUGAAUUCUGUUUAGCAAGUGUCUUAGUCAUCUUUCCAUCACUGGACAAAAUACCUGAAAUAAACAACUUAAAAGGAGAAAAGACUUAUUUUUCACAGUUUCAGAAAUUUCAAUCCAUAGUCUGUCAACUCCAGUGCUUUUCGGCCUGUGGCAAGGCAAAACAUAAUGGCAGGGAACAUAUGGUGGAGCAAAAUUCUCAACUCAUGGCUUCUGAAAAGCAAAAGAAUAAGCUUGUUUUUAUAAAAAAAAAAAAAAGAAAGAAAGAAAGAAAAAGAAAAAAAAAGAAAGGAAGAAAGAAAAAGCUCCUCUCCCCAAACCCAUUAAGCUUGAAUCCAUAAGUGGAUUAAUCCGCUCAUGGGGUCAGCGCCCCUGUGAUCCAAUCACCUUCUAAAGACUCCCAUCUCUUAACACUGCUGCACUGGCAACCAGGCAUUCAACACAUGAGCUCUUAGAGGACAUUUAAAAUUCAAACUAUAGCUUUCCACCUCCGGCCCCCAAAAGACUCAUGUCCCUCUCACAAUGCAUACUGCAUUCAGUUCAUUUCUGAGAGUUCCCAUAGUGUAAAUGGUUCCACAAUUGCUCAAAGUCCAAAGUCUCUUCUGAUCUUCAAGGCAAACUUCUACCUGUGAGCGCACAUAAAACAACAACAAAUAAUUUUAUACUUCCAAGAUACAAAGGUACAGAGUAAAUAUUCCCAUUCUAAAAAGGGAGGAAUGAGGCAAAGAAAGGAAGGAUCAGACCAAAGCAAGUCCAAAACCCAGCAGGGCAAUCAUCGUAUAGCUCCAUGUUCAGCACCUAAGCACCUGGUUGCCUAAUGUACACUCCAAAGGACUUGAGCAUCCCUGCUUCUAUUGCCUUGCCAGCUGAAGCCAUAUUGCCUCUCUUUUGGGUUGGCUCUAUUCAUGGACUAAAUCUUCCUGGGAUCCCCACCGAAGCUUCAACUUCACUUUCAUGGCUGUCUGCAUCAUCUUCUCAGGGGAUGCUUGCAGGGACUCCAAUACUGCCUUGAAAUGUUGGUGAAAGUUCUCUAAGACCUCACAACUCUUGCAUUCUUCAUGCAUACAAAACCAGCAUCAUGUGAACAGGGCCAAGGUCUUCCAUCAGCAGUAGUCAGGUCUACUUGAACCAAGGCUAUGAUGGCCUGGAAGACUAACCUGCCCCAUCAGUGAUCCCUGAUUUGAAUAAGUCAUACUGGUUUGGAAUGAAUGAUCCAAAAGCCAUCUUUAUCUUACAUGAAAGUUCCUGUCAACACUGACCAUAAAUAUAUUUAUUGUUCAUAUGAGAACAAUAUAACUGCUAAAAAUUUUUUUUUGCAGGAUUAAGAAGGCUCCUGUAAGUAUGAAAUAGAAGAUAAUCAAUUGAUAGGUGGAUCUUGCAUGAUUAGGGAAAAAGCUUUGUUAUGAAAAAAUAAUAAGUCAAUAAGCAUUUUACACCAGGGCUGAUGAUGUAACUCAGUGGUAGAGUACUUGCUUAGUAUGCAAAAGGCCCUAGGUUCAAUCCCAUUACCAAACACAAAAAAACUUCAAAGUGGACUGAUGUGUUUAAUGUGCGUGAGGCCCUAGGUUCAAUCUCCAGCACUACACACAUACACACAUGCAGACAUGUGUAGACACACAUGCACAAAACAACUUAAGCCACUAUUUCUUGGUGUUUUAGUUUGGAUCCAGAGUGUCCCCUAAAGUCUUAUGUGUUGAAGGCUUAGUCACCAAUGCAGCAGUGUUCAGAGGUGGGGCCUUUAGAAGGUGAUUCAACCAUGAGGGCACUGACCUCAUAAGUGGAUUAAUCCAUGUAUGGAUUUAUGGCUUAAUGGGUUUGGGGGAAGGGACUUUGUUAUAGAAGCAAGUUUUUCUUUGCUUCCUAGCCACCAUGGAGUGAGUAGCUUUGGUCCAUCACGUGCUCCAAGCGCACAAAGUUUACCUUGACACAGGCCCAAAGUGAUGGUGCCAGAUGAUGAUGGAUGAGAACCAUGAACAAAAAUAAUUUUUUCCUCCUUUUAUGUUAAUUUUCUCAGGUAUUUUGCUUACAGUGAUGAAACGCUGACUAAUAUGGAAAAUUAGUUCUAAGAAGUAGGGUCAUUGCUGUGACUUUACCUGACAAUGUGGUUCAGAAGUCUUUGGAAUUGGCUUGCAGGAGUAAUUCGGAAAAGCUUGGAGAAGCAGACUAGAAAAUUCUUAGAAUGCAGAGUGGAGCUUAAUGAAUGAGCUCAGAAGAACAGAAUACUAACAGGAAUGCUGAUAGUAAAGGCUGUUUUUCACAAGGUUUCAGAUGGAAAUUAGGAGUGUGUUGGGAAUUAGACUACAGGCCCUUUUGUUACAUUCUGGCAAAGAACUUGCCUCCAUUCUGUGCAUGCCCUGAGACUUUGCACUAGGCUGAAGUUAAAGGUAAUUAGUCUGGUGGAGUAAAUUUCAAUGCAGUACAGCAUUCAGGCACUAUGGGUAUUGCUGGCCACCUUUAGCCAGACUUAUAGUGAGAAUCAAAAACAAAAAGCAGAGCAGAAAGAUUUGAAAAACUUGCAGUUUUUCCAGAAAAGGAUUGUGUUUAAAGUCACAUGCAAGGAGGCUAUGCUUGUUAAAGAGAUCAAUGCCUUUUAAAAGCCAAGUACUUUGCACUGGGACAUUAAGAAAGAUGUCUUGGAGCAGCUCAGGAAUCAACAAGACACUCCCACUUUAGGCUCAAAGACCUUAGUUCGAGAAGUGAGCCCCAUGGCAUGCAGUUGCACAGAACUGUCUGGGGAAUUAUUUCCCCAGGAUUCAUUUCCCCAUAUUCAGUCAUCCAUGCAAUCAGAGGCCACUACUACUCAAACUGGUUUGAGACCUUGGCAUUGUCCACAUAAUGCUGAUUUUGUAGGCAUACAGAAUGCAAGAGUGGUGGUGACUUAAAGACUUCCACUGACAUUUCAAAGAAUGAGGCAAGAUUGGAGUCCCUGCAGCAUUCCCUGAGAGGAUUAUCUCUGGGACUCAAUGACUCUUAAAAAAAAAAAAAAAGCAUACCCAAUGCUAAACAUAUUGGCAAACUAACAACAGCUUUCUUCUUUGAUUUAUUUAAAAGAUAAUUUUGUUUUAUUGUAUGAACCAAAUUUUUUCAAUAUUUUAUUUUUUUUUAGUUGUAGUUGGACACAAUGCCUUUAUUUCACUUAUUUAUUUUUAUGUGAUGCUGAGGAUGGAAUCCAGGGUCUCGCAUGUAUGAGACUAUCGCUCUACCACCGAGCCACAACCCCGGCCCUGUAUGAACCAAAUUUUUAGGGUUGGCCACUAACCUGAAUAGAAAAAAAUCUUGGAUCUCAAAGACAGCAUAAAACAUUAUUAAUAUCUGCUAUUAACCAUUUUAGUGAACUUCCUGAAAUGGCAGUUACUAGACUCCUUAUCAUCUUGGAUAGGUGGUCAUGGACUUUCAUAUACCUUUGUGCUCCAAGCAUCUCUUAUAGUGGUCUUCUCCUAGCUUCAUGACUCUGAUUACUGAUUUUCAGUAUUACCAGUGGGGAUAUGGUCACUUACCAACCUCUGAGGUCAGUGUUUUUGCCAUUCCUUCACUCUAAUUGUUGCCACAUUGAGAUGAGAAAUGCCUCCUUAUAUCAGUAAAGAAGUGGGGGGCGGGAUUCAUCAGCUUCUUUCACAGUAAACUAUUGUGUCUGCUUCACUCUCAAACUUGACACUUCUCUCACUCCUCUCUCCAGGAAUUUGGAGAGAAGUUCUGAAAAGUCUAUGUCAAGAAAGUUGCCCAUAGUUCCACUCAGAAUGACUCCUCCUCUGGCAUUUAGGGUUUGCAACUUACUGUAUUUACACCUCUAUAAAACAUAACUCAGUCUGGUAGUACUUAUAACAAAGGAGAUUAUUUCUCACAAUUCUGGAGGCCCUAAAGUCCAGGAUCACAAGGCACUGGCAGAUUUGGUUUCUGGCAAGUGCUUUGUAGGGCCCAUUUCCCUACACAGUGGAAUAGGCAAAGCUGCUCCAAGGAGCCUCUUUUUAAAGGCACCAAUCCCCUUCACAAGAGCUUCACCUUCAUGAUCUAUUAUGCCCCCAAAGUCCCCACUCCUAUACUAUCACCAUGGAGUUAAAUUUUCAACAUGUGCACUUUCAGGGUCACAAGCAUUCAGAUCAUAUCAAUAGCCUCUUUUGAAUCUCACUCCUUCAAUUCUAAUCCUUUGUCCAGUAGGGUAAGGGAUAUCUGUGGUUCUCCAGUUGUUUAGGAUGAUUUUAUGGGAAGUGAGUAUAUUCCAAUGCUUCUACUCAUCUUUUCAAAGAGGUUCGUCAGUUUUGAUGUGUACAUGAAAACACGGGCUGUGCGGGCUGCAGUUGGUCAUCCCAUGAUGCGCUGGAUUUCAUAGCACCAGGUGCAGCUUCCACCUUUGUUCUUAGAGCCUUGCUUUAUUUUAUCCUCAGGAGUUCUAUAUGAUGUGUCUAUUAGAACUAUUUCCUUCCUAUCUUGUAAGAACUAAGGUAUAUUCUCUCUUGCUGCUCAUAUUUCUCUGAGUAGAAUCAUUAUAAUUUUCUGUUUCCUUUCUGCUUAAAUAGCUUUCCCCUGUGUUAUAUUGCCUUGAUGAAUACCAAGUUCUUAUACCUCCUUUUUGCAUAAACAUUGAGUUUCUCCAUUGUCAAAUGAAAAAUAUCCUUCAUCUUGCCUUGAAAAAACCUUCCAAAACCUCCAUUCCUGCCCUAUCCAUCUUCAUUUCCAGCUUCCCAUGAUACCCAUCUGCUUCCGCCUGGUUGGGUUCUUCUUUUUUGGAGUGUGUCUUUUUCUUACCCUGUGCCAAGCUUGUCUGAUUCCCCAUCAGGGAUGGCUUUUCACCCCUCUCCUUGCUCCCAUCAGUCCAAGUCUUCUUCUUCUUCUUUUAAUUGUUAAUUAACUUUAUUUUAUUCAUUUAUUUAUAUGAAGUGCUGAGAAUCAAACCCAGUGAGGCAAGCGCUCCACCACUGAGCUACAACUCCAGCCAUGUGUACUUUCUUCUUUAUAGGCCCUUUCCUGACUACUUAGGCUGAGUUUAAGCUCAUUCUUUUCUGAAUGAUACUGUAAUUUGCUUCCAAAAUUUUUCUUUUGCCUCAUAAUCGUCAACCUAGCCUAAUUUUCUUAUCUAUUCAUGAAGAUUACAGAUAUUGAAGAAUAUGAUCUGUAAUUUUGACUUUCCAUUCUUCUCUCCCAUUGAUUUUAGCAGAGACGUUUUCCCAUGGAAGGUGCUAAGUAAGCAUUUCUUGAGCAAAUGACCUGCAGCAUCUGUUGGUGAACUAUUCUAUAUCAAAUAUGGACACUUGCCUGUUGUCCAACAAACAGCUUGUCCUUUUUUUCCCCAGCUGGAGGGGGUGAGACAGCAUGCUUCCAUCCCUAAGGAGGAGCCAUGUCCAAAGAAGUCCUCUCCCAGGCACUAUGACCAGCCCACAUACUUCCAAGGAAUGGAGGUGCCCUGAAAGAACUGAGAGGCAGGGCAGAGUGUUAUUGCAAGGGCUCCACCUGAUGGGUUAGCUUAGCCAAGAGAAAAUCAACUACACACUGAUCUCAUGUCCCUAAAUUACCACCCAAUAAGAGGAGGAAGAGAGAAAAAUAAAAGCUGGCUUCCAUUUGCCCAGCCUUCUGGUUCAUCGACCUGGGAACACAGACUGCAUUGGCUGCUCAUUUACAGGGCUGCAUUGAUGGCUUCUCCCCAGGAGGGAACCAUGGAGAGAAUCAUUCACCCUCAAACUCCUCUGAUACUUGGUGCCUGAGGAAGCAAAAGCAGAUAAAGAAAUUGGAAUGAGACUUGCCUGAGAGGAACUUUGAAUCAUUUCAGAGAGGAAUGAAAUCUCAAAUUUUAAAACCUAAUUUAAUAAACAUACAUCUUUGCAAAAUAACAUUGUGCAUAUCAGCAGCGUUUCUAUCUCCAACUGAAAAUGGAAGCAAAGUUUUCCAUGACUGGGAAAUCCUCUUGAUAUUGAGACAACUGGAAAUAAGAGUUAAUCCAUCUAAUAUUUUUCUUCUAUUCAUUAAAGUUACCUUAUUCCAUAUUUUAAAA